rnacentral:rRNA from 1 species
GUCGAGCGGACCGACGGGAGCUUGCUCCCUUAGGUCAGCGGCGGACGGGUGAGUAACACGUGGGUAACCUGCCUGUAAGACUGGGAUAACUCCGGGAAACCGGGGCUAAUACCGGAUGCUUGAUUGAACCGCAUGGUUCAAUCAUAAAAGGUGGCUUUCAGCUACCACUUGCAGAUGGACCCGCGGCGCAUUAGCUAGUUGGUGAGGUAACGGCUCACCAAGGCGACGAUGCGUAGCCGACCUGAGAGGGUGAUCGGCCACACUGGGACUGAGACACGGCCCAGACUCCUACGGGAGGCAGCAGUAGGGAAUCUUCCGCAAUGGACGAAAGUCUGACGGAGCAACGCCGCGUGAGUGAUGAAGGUUUUCGGAUCGUAAAACUCUGUUGUUAGGGAAGAACAAGUACCGUUCGAAUAGGGCGGCACCUUGACGGUACCUAACCAGAAAGCCACGGCUAACUACGUGCCAGCAGCCGCGGUAAUACGUAGGUGGCAAGCGUUGUCCGGAAUUAUUGGGCGUAAAGCGCGCGCAGGCGGUUUCUUAAGUCUGAUGUGAAAGCCCCCGGCUCAACCGGGGAGGGUCAUUGGAAACUGGGGAACUUGAGUGCAGAAGAGGAGAGUGGAAUUCCACGUGUAGCGGUGAAAUGCGUAGAGAUGUGGAGGAACACCAGUGGCGAAGGCGACUCUCUGGUCUGUAACUGACGCUGAGGCGCGAAAGCGUGGGGAGCGAACAGGAUUAGAUACCCUGGUAGUCCACGCCGUAAACGAUGAGUGCUAAGUGUUAGAGGGUUUCCGCCCUUUAGUGCUGCAGCAAACGCAUUAAGCACUCCGCCUGGGG